GGCCGCCUGGCGAAAUGGCAUCGCGUCUGACUACGAUAUACCAGAUACAGUGGCAAAUAUUUCAAUCAGGAGAUUGCAGGUUCGACCCCUGCGGUGGUCA